AAACGGGCUGGCUUCGAAGAUGAGCAGGAACGAGGGCGUCAUAAUUUACCAUAGUAACGGCAGCUUCCGCAGAAGCCAUUUCUAAGAAAGCCUGGCUUCUUCCUUUCAGCAUCAAAUGGUUAGUUACUUUGCCAAACGGAAGUCCUAAAGCAGACACCACUGUAGAAGGACCAGAGCUGUUCCUGGUAGAAGGGCUGUUACUGACACCGCAACAAAGAAGCUCAUGAAUCUCUGCCAUCCAUGGCCCCUGUCGCCUCCAGCGCAGGAAGCAGGCGGUGACAGCAAGGCGGCUCCGGGAAAGGAAAAAGAAGACAUAGAAGAAAUUCAGGAUUUCAUCUGAAUGCACGACGCCAAAGCUGUACUCAUAUUAUGAUAACAAAUAGACAUAACAUAAUAGACAACUCAACAUCAGUAGAAAACUUCAUAAUUGUAAAAUUUCAAAAAUGAGAAUUAAAUUCACAUCAUGCAAUCCUGAG
rnacentral:lncRNA from 1 species